rnacentral:lncRNA from 1 species
UUCUUUGCUGGCUCAGGUACAUAGGCCUGUUAAUGAAGAGAUUUUGUAAAAAUUAACUAAUUUAGCACUGCCUUUGUUUUACUCUAGAUGGUUUUUCUGGAAUUUUUUGAAGCUCUUCUUGAAUGUGCAUUGGUGUAUGUUACUGAGGAUAUGAUCCUGAAGAAAGAAGCUCAAGAUAAUAAGAAAAGAAGUAGCUUUGAAAUCAAGGAGCUCUCUAAGGAAACCUCAGCUGUGUCUCCCACAGAACAUUCUCCACCCCAGCCACCGAGACCUGGUGAAGACACAGAGCCUGCUCCUCAACCAUCUCUACUGGAAACUCUUCUCUCAUUUCCCAUAACUCCUGGAGAAAGCAAAGAUGAUGUGUCAUUGCCAAACAAGGAUGUAAAAGAAGAACAAGAUUCCUGCCCAGAAAAGGAAUUGAUAGAUGAAGCAAAAGAAGAUAAAAAUGAACAAAAGGAGCUGUGUAGUUUCUGGAUGUGUCAGGUGGAAACCUUUUUCACAACUAAGUUGUUCCCUGCUUUUGAGCAUGAAAUAGUGCUGAGAGAUAAAAUAAAAGAAAUAAAACCCCAGCAUGCUGAAUUAGCUGAGCUGAGAAAGAUCCAGGCUGAGGAGCUGGGAAGGUGAGUGUUGAAUCUUGUCUGGCAGUACUGUUAUCCUUUAUUUUCCACCAGCAAAAUUAUUGAAAAUGAGAAGUUCAAGAAAGUACUAUAGCUUCUUGUAGCUGGAAAACAAACUCACACAGGUUUCAUUAGUAACAUAGAGAAUGUAACUCAUGUGCUUUCUGCUAUUGGCUGGAGUAAAAAAUACAGGCUGC